rnacentral:rRNA from 1 species
GAAUAAUACCCCAUAGUUCACCACGCCUGGAACGGUGGGUGGAUCAAAGCCCCGGCGGCAUAGGAUGGGCCUGCGGCGUAUCAGGUUGUAGGGGGUGUAAUGUACCCUCUAGCCCUCUACGCGUACGGGUGUUGAGAGACAUAGCCCGGAGAUGGAUUCUGAGACACGAAUCCAGACCCUACGGGGUGCAGCAGGCGCGAAAACUUGGCAAUGCGAGAAAUCGUGACCAGGGAACUCCAAGUGCAUCGGGUAAGACCGAUGCUUUUCUUGACUCUUCAAAGGUCUUGGAAUAAGGGGUGGGUAAGGACGGUGCCAGCCGCCGCGGUAAUACCGGCGCCCCAAGUGGUAGUCGCUUUUAUUGGGCCUAAAACGUCCGUAGCCGGUCUGGUACAUUCGUGGGUAAAUCAACCAGCUCAACUGGUUGAAUUCUGCGAGCACGGCCAGACUUGGGACCGGGAGAGGUGUGGGGUACUCUCAGGGUAGGGGUAAAAUCCUGUCAUCCUGAGAGGACCACCUGUUGCGAAGGCGCCACACUAGAACGGAUCCGACGGUCAGGGACGAAGCCUAGGGGCACGAACCGGAUUAGAUACCCGGGUAGUCCUAGGUGUAAACGCUGUGGACUUGAUGUUGGGAGCGCUCCGAGCGCCCUCAGUGUCGAAGCGAAGGUGAUAAGUCCACUGCCUGGGGAGUACGGUCGCAAGGCUGAAACUUAAAGGAAUUGGCGGGGGAGCACCGCAACCUGAGGAUUGUGCGGUUUAAUUGGAUUCAACGCCGGAAAACUCACCAUAGCCGACGGACAUAUGAAGGCCAGCGUAAUGAGCUUGCCGGAUUGUUCGAGAGGUAGUGCAUGGCCGUCGUCAGUUCGUACCGCAAGGCGUUCUGUUAAGUCAGAUAACGAACGAGACCCUCAUCCCUAUUUGCUAACUUGAUCUCAGGAUCAGGCGCACUAUAGGGAGACCGCUGGCGCGAAGUCAGAGGAAGGCGAGGGCAACGGUAGGUCAGUAUGCUCCGAAUGCUAUGGGCUACACGCGCAAUACAAAGGACGGGACAAUGGGCUGCUGCUCCGAAAGGAACGAUGGCUAUCCCGAAACCCGUUCGUAGUUCGGAUUGAGGGCUGUAACUCGCCCUCAUGAAGCUGGAUUAGGUAGUAAUCGCGUCUC